CACGUAGGAGGCGAGCGUUGUCCGGAAUCAUUGGGCGUAAAGAGCGCGCAGGCGGCUUGGCAAGUCGGGUGUGAAAUCCCGGGGCUCGACCCCGUGACUGCAUCCGAUACUGUCAGGCUAGAGGUAGGUAGGGGAGAUCGGAAUUCCUGGUGUAGCGGUGAAAUGCGCAGAUAUCAGGAGGAACACCGGUGGCGAAGGCGGAUCUCUGGGCCUUACCUGACGCUCAGGCGCGAAAGCGUGGGGAGCAAACAGG
rnacentral:rRNA from 1 species